GGAGGAACCUUUCAAUCCCACUCACAACAAAUAUCAUCAAACCAAGUGAUGAGAUUGUGAUAAAAAAAUGAGGGAAUGCCCAUCUCAAAAGAACCUGGGAAGAAAAGGAGAUUUUAAGAUUAAA